rnacentral:rRNA from 1 species
UACAGAGGUCUCGAGCGUUAGGCGGAAUCACUGGGCUUAAAGCGUGUGUAGGCGGAUCGUUAAGUGCCUUGUGAAAUCCCACGGCUCAACCGUGGAACUGCUUGGCAUACUGGCGGUCUUUGAGCAACCUAGGGGCGAGCGGAACAAAUGGUGGAGCGGUGAAAUGCGUAGAUAUCAUUUGGAACGCCAAUGGUGAAAACAGCUCGCUGGGGGUUUGCUGACGCUGAGACGACGAAAGCCAGGGGAGCAAAC